rnacentral:rRNA from 1 species
GCAUGCCUAUACAUGCAAGUCGAGCGCAGGAAGCAGGCAGAUCCCCUUCGGGGGUGAUGCCUGUGGAAUGAGCGGCGGACGGGUGAGUAACACGUGGGCAACCUGCCUGUAAGAUCGGAAUAACUCCGGGAAACCGGGGCUAAUGCCGGGUAAUCCUUUUUUUCGCAUGAGAGAGAGGUAAAAGAUGGCCUUUGGCUAUCACUUACAGAUGGGCCCGCGGCGCAUUAGCUAGUUGGUGAGGUAAUAGCUCACCAAGGCGACGAUGCGUAGCCGACCUGAGAGGGUGAUCGGCCACACUGGGACUGAGACACGGCCCAGACUCCUACGGGAGGCAGCAGUAGGGAAUCUUCCGCAAUGGACGAAAGUCUGACGGAGCAACGCCGCGUGAACGAUGAAGGUCUUCGGAUCGUAAAGUUCUGUUGUUAGGGAAGAACAAGUACCGUGCGAAUAGAGCGGUACCUUGACGGUACCUAACGAGGAAGCCCCGGCUAACUACGUGCCAGCAGCCGCGGUAAUACGUAGGGGGCAAGCGUUGUCCGGAAUUAUUGGGCGUAAAGCGCGCGCAGGCGGUUUCUUAAGUCUGAUGUGAAAGCCCACGGCUCAACCGUGGAGGGUCAUUGGAAACUGGGGAACUUGAGGACAGAAGAGGAGAGUGGAAUUCCACGUGUAGCGGUGAAAUGCGUAGAUAUGUGGAGGAACACCAGUGGCGAAGGCGACUCUCUGGUCUGUUUCUGACGCUGAGGUGCGAAAGCGUGGGUAGCAAACAGGAUUAGAUACCCUGGUAGUCCACGCCGUAAACG